ensembl:lncRNA
GUAGCAGUCAGCUCAUUAGUAGCAGUGAUGCAAUUUCCUGUUGUGCUGCUUUCCAGUAAGUGGCAAAGAAGCGGACUUCCCCUUCAGUGCUGAGCGCCUGUGUGUGUGUGUGUGUGUGUGUGUGUGUGUGUGUCUAGUGUGUGCGCGUGUGUGUGCGCGUGUGGAGCACAAAGCUCUUGUGAGAGUUUGAGUGUGAGGGGCCGGCAUCAAUGGGACCUAACUUGAGCUCUAUGACCAGAGUGGACACCCAGUGUGAAGCAUCAUGUGUGUGUGUCCACUAUGGCAAGCACUGAGCCUCUGGGUAAUCUUCUCCGUCCAUGUUGUUUCAGAGGAGGGUGACUAUAAAAGUCUGCAAAACUUCUCUCAACAAUGUAGCAACGGACAGUUGGACAAGGCUCUUUUACCAUUGCAGGGAAUCAGUUUAUUUCUGACGAAUGACAGCGGAGUAAUGGAACACAAAAACUCAACAUACAUCGUAGAUUAUAGCAUUGAUGAGGACAUACCAGCUCUGUUAGACGUUUUCUCAGGCCGUCUGCCUCCUUUAAAUAUCAGCUGCAUAGUGGACAUGCAGAACCAUCUUAACUUCAGCUGGGAUACAAGCGGUGUUCCGGAACAUGCUCAGUAUUCCGUUUCCUAUCUACUUUGCAGGGACGGUGAAAAGGUACUUGAAAGCCCCAAGGAACGUCUUCCUUCCCCAGUUUUCUCCACUGUGCUUGGCAACCAGACACAUCAAGAUCAUAUCAUUCUGCAACUGAACGUCUCCUACCCAGGCGUCUGGUACAUUCAGACUCAGAAGUGGGAAAUCCUCACAGUCGAAAAACUGGAUCCCCCUCAAUUCAUUAAUACAACGAUUCAGUCGGAUCAGUUGUACCUGAAAUGGGAUCUGCCCAAAAGUAAACACACGAAAAAUCCUUCGUGCUUCAGAUAUGAACUGAGGAUCAAUGAUGAGGUCAGAUAUUUGAGCAAAAAACUGAGCCAUUCCGAGCCGAACAUUGAUCAGACCCGGACAUACAAAAUCCAGAUGAGAGUAAAGAUGCUUUCCUUCCCCUGCCGUGGCUCUAUUUAUUGGAGUGACUGGACUUCUGUUCUAAACCUGGGCCCAUUGAUACUCCAACCAGACUUCCAUAUCGGGGUGAUGGUCACAAUUGCUCUUGGACUUCCCAUGAGCCUCUUGGCUAUAUUACUACUCUGCAAAUUCAGGAUUUUUUAUAAACUGUUCCCACCUAUCCCAGGCCCAUCCAUCAAGAUUAAAGGUCUACUAGAGAAAGACAUAACAUCUCAUAACUACCAGAUCAUCUCACACAAAUGUGUAGAAGAGGUCACUGAGGUGGAAGUAAAAGAGGAUGAGGAAGAAGAAGAGGAUGAAGAUGAAUAUGAAAAUGAGGAGGAGCGCUUGUGAAAAGGCACUUGUGAGAGGAUGGAGGGGUUUCCUCCAGUGAAGGACAAGAACACAGAUUGAAGAGGGACGAACCGCCGGGGACAACGAGCCAAGUCUUUUUUUCGAAACAUUUACAUGUGUGUUAUUUUAUUCUUUCUCUUCCAUUUUGAGGACCUUACUGAGGACCGCAAAACAGGCAGUUUUUGUGCUGCCCUUGACAACUUUCUGCAAUCACGUGUAUUUGUCGUGGAGUUGAAAUGGAAAUGCUCUGCAGUACCGAUGACAUUUCAACAUGCAAUUCUUUGUGCACUGUUGGUAUAGAUAACAUGAGAUAUGUUCAAACUAAAACUGAAGAUUUACAGAUGGUGAUUAUGAAACAACAUCUGGUGGCAAUCUACAAUGACAAUGACCAUUAUGAUUAAUUGGAACUCAGUUUAAUUGGUAGAUGUGUCCUUUUGGAUCUAAAUGGUUCUUGAUAUGACUACCCCUCAGUUUCAUGUUGCCAAGUCCUUAAGCAAAAUCCUGUUCGCUCACCAUAUUUAGUGGACAGGAUGUAGCAGUGGAUCUGAGCCAUGGGUUGAGUUUGUCCUUAAUUAUGAAUGCUACCGAAAUAAAUAUGACCUCGGUUGAAUUUCA